UAGAGAAGGACUGGACAAUCGAAGCAAGCCGUGGUCAAUCUAAAUUUUUGUUUAUAUUUUCUAACACUAGAGAGGCGAUGCACUCUUUGCUAUUUGCUCAACAGACUGAAGUUAUUUACAUAACUCGCCGAAAUCCCCCUCUCCUCCAGAACUCUUCUUGCUUCUUUUUACUCUAGAGCAGGACUGUAUUAUUUAUGAGCAUUUUAACUGGGUCAAUAUGCAUCCAAACUGGGUCAUAAAUCAGAGGAAAGGCUGCCAAGUAAUUUAGCUGCAAUUAAAGCUUGGAUUUUAUUUUUGAGGCACGUUUUGGCCCAUUUCAAAAUACGGCAAUGCCAGUCUUGCCUUUUAGACAUACAGAUGGGAGCGAAAGAGCUCUCCUUCCCUUGUUGAAGAGAGAAACACCAUGCUUCAGCAUGGCGAGAAGGGGAAAUAAAAUUUAUUUGGGUCAGUUCUGCUUUGAGAGCGGCUUUAAAGAGCAGGAAAAUGUGAGACCAUCCCAAACAUAACCCCGAAGGUCUCUGCAGAAUGGCCGCGAAUAUCUCCAAGUGGAAAUAACCUUUUUUUUGGUGCUCUCAGCGGAGUUUUUAUCAUCGGUCACUUUUCUUCUUCUUUCCCUCUCUUUCUGACCCCUUAAAGACGAGCAAUUACAAACAGCGUGUAACUGGACAGAAAAUGGUUCAACAGGAAUAGGCGAGAGGCAUGGAGCGACCUGGAGGAAAGCGAGUCCCUGUGCUCCAACCUUUCCCAAUGCCGGGGCACACCAGGGAAAUAGGGUUUCAUAUAGCAUUUUGCUCUCUUUGGAUAGCAAGAUCCCCAUUCAGAGAGACAGAAUAAACCCCCACAUUUUCAAGACUGAUUUAUUGUUAGAAGCCGUGGCUGGCUCUUGGUUCAGCUCCUUCUCACCACGGAGAAAUAAAAAGGAGCGCCUUGGCUCAUUUGGGAAGGGGAAGCUUUGCCAUAGAGCUGAGCACUCAUGCAGCGCUCCUCGCACAAUAAACAAAGUACCACUAAAGCAUCAUAAAUAAAAUGGCAGCACGAUCGCACAGUCAUCGAUUUACGGAGCGGCAGCGGCCGAACAAACACCCAUGAAACAACAACCAUCGCCGCACACUCGAGCACGACCCCGACCGAGGAGCAUCACACACCCCCCACAUCGUUUUCUCCGACUUGCUCUAAUACAUAAAUAAAUAAACACACAAACACACAGAGAAAACAAUAGAAUAAAAUUAAGGGGGAAAAUAUUCAAACACGACAAUAAGAGAGGCUUCCUAUCUCUAGCCGGUCAUAAAUAAUGGUAAGAUGGCAAUCGAGGGGCUGUAGCAGAGGCAGCUGGCCAUCAACAGCAGUGUGGGAUCUCUAUGGAGAAAAAUAAAUAAAGAAGCAAACUCUCCCUGCUCAGCUCGCUGCGAGGGUAGAGUUGAAUAUUUACCACAGCAAAUUGAAACAAAGGGGGAAGCAGCCUGGCUCCGGGUGCACACACACCCGCACGCACACACACGCACUCACUCCAGCCUCUGCUACUGACCUUUGCCUCGAACAGCAAUAACUCACCACAUAAAUGAACAAUCAACGGAAAUACCUUAAAAUAAAAUCCAUCCUUUCUAACGAA